rnacentral:lncRNA from 1 species
AGCAUUUUGUAUAUGAAGAACAGAGUGACAGGAAGAAGAAAGAGCACCAGGCUGAGCACCAUUCGACCUCCACUAAUACACGUCUGACCUUGUUCAAGCCCCUUCGCAUCUCUGGCUCAGGUUCCCCUAUUAAGUGCAAAUCACAGCAGUAACUCAACAAGACAUGGGCAAGACUCAAAAAUCUAAAUGACAUCUCAACAACAUGUGAUUGUACCCAGGCAUUUCCCCCUGGGAGCACCAAAGGGAAGAAGGUAAUUUUUCGGUCUUUUGGAAGCUGUGCCCUGGUGCCAAGAUGCCUCAAGCCAAAACCACACAGAGCAGCCUGCCUGACAGAUGGGCCCAGUAGCCUUUAUCAAGCUCUUAGGCUCUUAUGAGCUUCCCUACUUGCGAAUUAAACAUAAAUUUAUCCUUUGCGGCUCUUUCAUAAAA